CAAGGAAAAACAAUUCCAAAGCUUUGAGCAAAAAUUUUUUGUUGGUGAUUUACAAACUAAAUUCUUAAAAAGAGAAUUUAGUUGUGAGAGAUCUAGUACAAAAUGGUGGAUUCUAUACUGGGUGUGAUAAAACUAGACACUGGUUGUAUUGAGUUAAAAUAUAGUAGAUUCAUCUCACUGAGCUAGGUUCUGCAGACAUAGGAAAAUCGAACUAUGUAAACAAUUUCUUGUCCCCUAUUUUUCUGUUGUUUAUCGUAGUGCCACUAUAAGAAAUUAUAGAUGAAAGAGAAAAUGUUCUCUCAAUCAUAUCCAGCAAGGUCCACAGGACCUCAAUAUAUAUACAGGUAAUAUACUAGAACUUUACUGCAAAGGAAUCAUUUUGUAACAAACAAAUGGUGAAUGGUGAAUUUGUUAAGCUUGGUGAAAUUGAAUUAGUUGAUAAUUGAGUUAAGCUGGCCAUUCUGUUUGUUAUUCAUUUCUUCUAAUAUUCCCCUUGCAUUUCCUUGUUGAAAUUCUUCAAAUGCAGUAACAUUCAGUUAACCAUGAAAUCUGGAAAAUGCACAUGUUGUUAGUGGGUUUGUCAUUUAACACAUUAUCACACAAAAAAUGCACAUCGAGCUCAACAUGUUUGACCUGUGCAUGUAAGACUGGGUUCGCUACCAAAGCUACAGAGCUG
rnacentral:lncRNA from 1 species